rnacentral:lncRNA from 1 species
GUCGAAAAGCAUCUUCUGUGGCUCAGAUAGUAACUACUUUACAGGAAAGCGAGGCAAUGGAAUACACUAUUGUCGUAGCCGAAAUGGUUGAUUCCCCUGCUACAUUACAAAUACCUUGCUCCUUAUACAGGAGCAGCUUUGGUUGAAUAUUUUAUGCACCGUAAACAACGCACUUCAAUCAUUUAUGAUGAUCUCUCCAAACAAGCCCAAGAUUAUCGCCAAAUGUCUCUUCUAUUACGAAGACUGCCUGAUCAUGAAGCUUACCUAGGG